UACAGAGGGUGCGAGCGUUGUCCGGAAUCACUGGGCGUAAAGGGCGCGUAGGUGGCCACCAUAAGGCCGCGGUGAAAGUCUGGGGCUCAACCCCGGAUCGGCCGCGGCGACUGUGGGGCUAGGGUACCGUAGAGGCAGAUGGAAUUCCGGGUGUAGCGGUGGAAUGCGUAGAGAUCCGGAAGAACACCAGUGGCGAAGGCGGGUCUCUGGGCCGAAAUUGACGCUGAGGAGCGAAAGCGUGGGGAGCGAACAGG
rnacentral:rRNA from 1 species